UCCUAGCUGGCUCAGUCAGUAAAGCAGGUGACUCCUGAUCUCAGGGUCGUGAGUUCAAGCCCCACGUUGGGCA
rnacentral:tRNA from 1 species